GAUGAACGCUGGCGGCGUGCUUAACACAUGCAAGUCGAACGAAGCACUUUAUUUGAUUUCCCUCGGGACUGAUUAUUUUGUGACUGAGUGGCGGACGGGUGAGUAACGCGUGGGUAACCUGCCUUGUACAGGGGGCUAACAGUUGGAAACGGCUGCUAAUACCGCAUAAGCGUACAGCAUCGCAUGAUGCAGUGCGAAAAACUCGGGUUGUAUAAGAUGGACCCGCGUUGGAUUAUCUAGUUGGUGAGGUAACGGCCCACCAUGGCGACGUUCCAUAGACGACAAGAGAGGCUGACCGGACACAUUGACACUGAGACGCAGCAGAGAAUCCUACGGGAGGCAGCAGAGGGUAAUAUUGCACAAUGGGCGGAAGGAUGAUGCACCGAGGAUGGGUAAGCGAAGUUGUAUGUGAGUAUGUAAAGUUCUAGCAGCAGGGAAGAUAAUGACGGUACCUGACUAAGAAGCAACGGCUAAAUACGUG
rnacentral:rRNA from 1 species